UUACAGGUUCUCGGUGUGCUUCUGCCAAAAACCCAAAUUCUAUGGUUGACCUCGGAUCAGGUAGGGAUACCCGCUGAACUUAA
rnacentral:rRNA from 1 species